GUGGGGACCUUUCCACGGUCUCCGUGACGCAGCUAACGCAUUAAGUUCCCCGCCUGGGGAGUACGGCCGCAAGGCUAAAACUCAAAGGAAUUGACGGGGACCCGCACAAGCGGCGGAGCAUGCGGAUUAAUUCGAUGCAACGCGAAGAACCUUACCAAGGCUUGACAUAUAGAGGAAAGGUCUGGAAACAGUCCCCCCGCAAGGUCUCUAUACAGGUGGUGCAUGGUUGUCGUCAGCUCGUGUCGUGAGAUGUUGGGUUAAGUCCCGCAACGAGCGCAACCCUCGUUCUAUGUUGCCAGCACGUAAUGGUGGGAACUCAUGGGAUACUGCCGGGGUCAACUCGGAGGAAGGUGGGGAUGACGUCAAAUCAUCAUGCCCCUUAUGUCUUGGGCUUCACGCAUGCUACAAUGGCCGGUACAAAGGGCUGCAAUACCGUGAGGUGGAGCGAAUCCCAAAAAGCCGGUCCCAGUUCGGAUUGAGGUCUGCAACUCGACCUCAUGAAGUCGGAGUCGCUAGUAAUCGCAGAUCAGCAACGCUGCGGUGAAUACGUUCCCGGGUCUUGUACACACCGCCCGUCAAGUCAUGAAAGUCGGUAACACCUGAAGCCGGUGGCCUAACCCUUGUGGAGGGAGCCGUCGAAGGUGGGAUCGGUAAUUAGGACUAAGU
rnacentral:rRNA from 1 species